rnacentral:rRNA from 1 species
CCCUAGUAACUGCGAGUGAAGCGGGAAAAGCUCAAAUUUAAAAUCUGGCAGCCUUUGGUUGUCCGAGUUGUAAUCUAGAGAAGYGUUAUCCGCGCUGGACCGUGUACAAGUCUCCUGGAAUGGAGCGUCAUAGAGGGUGAGAAUCCCGUCUUUGACACGGACUGCCAGGGCUUUGUGAUGCGCUCUCRAAGAGUCGAGUUGUUUGGGAAUGCAGCUCAAAAUGGGUGGUAAAUUCCAUCUAAAGCUAAAUAUUGGCGAGAGACCGAUAGCGAACAAGUACCGUGAGGGAAAGAUGAAAAGAACUUUGGAAAGAGAGUUAAACAGUACGUGAAAUUGCUGAAAGGGAAACGCUUGAAGUCAGUCGCGUUGUCCAGGGAUCAACCUUGCUUUUGCUUGGUGCACUUUCUGGUUGACGGGUCAGCAUCAAUUUUGACUAUUGGAAAAAGRUUAGGGGAAUGUAGCAUCUUUGGAUGUGUUAUAGCCCUUAGUUGCAUACAAUGGUUGGGAUUGAGGAACUCAGCACGCCGCAAGGCCGGGUUUUUAACCACGUACGUGCUUAGGAUGCUGGCAUAAUGGCUUUAAUCGACCCGUCUUGAAACACGGACCAAGGAGUCUAACAUGCCUGCGAGUGUUUGGGUGGAAAACCCGAGCGCGUAAUGAAAGUGAAAGUUGAGAUCCCUGUCGUGGGGAGCAUCGACGCCCGGACCAGACCUUUUGUGACGGUUCCGCGGUAGAGCAUGUAUGUUGGGACCCGAAAGAUGGUGAACUAUGCCUGAAUAGGGUGAAGCCAGAGGAAACUCUGGUGGAGGCUCGUAGCGAUUCUGACGUGCA